UACGUAGGAGACGAGCGUUGUCCGGAAUUACUGGGCGUAAAGCGCGUGUAGGCGGAUGGGCAAGUCUGCUGUGAAAGCUCCUGGCUUAACCGGGAGUGGUCGGUGGAAACUGCCAAUCUGGAGGACGGUAGAGGUAGGUAGAAUUCCCGGUGUAGUGGUGAAAUGCGUAGAGAUCGGGAGGAAUACCUGUGGCGAAGGCGGCCUACUGGGCCAACACUGACGCUCAUGCACGAAAGCGUGGGGAGCAAACAGG
rnacentral:rRNA from 1 species